GACGAACGCUGGCGGCGCGCCUAACACAUGCAAGUCGGACGAGAGAUGAGGAGCUUGCUCUUCAAAUCGAGUGGCGAACGGGUGAGUAACGCGUGAGGAACCUGCCUCAAAGAGGGGGACAACAGUUGGAAACGACUGCUAAUACCGCAUAAGCCCACAGCUCGGCAUCGAGCAGAGGGAAAAGGAGCAAUCCGCUUUGAGAUGGCCUCGCGUCCGAUUAGCUAGUUGGUGAGGUAACGGCCCACCAAGGCGACGAUCGGUAGCCGGACUGAGAGGUUGAACGGCCACAUUGGGACUGAGACACGGCCCAGACUCCUACGGGAGGCAGCAGUGGGGAAUAUUGCACAAUGGGGGAAACCCUGAUGCAGCGACGCCGCGUGGAGGAAGAAGGUCUUCGGAUUGUAAACUCCUGU
rnacentral:rRNA from 1 species